CCCCUAGGACUUUCAUUAACACGUUACCUGAUUGGAGCAUGCUUAUUGCCGUUAUCACCAUAAUCUUCUUGGCUGCUGAGAAGUAGUGGAUGAUGCUUGAUUGGAAACCUAGGCGGCCUAACAUGCUCAUUGACCCUUUUGGUCUUGGGAGAAUUGUUCAGGAUGGUUUGGUGUUCCGGCAAAAUUUUUCUAUUAGAUCAUAUGAAAUAGGUGCUGAUCGUACAGCUUCUAUAGAGACAUUGAUGAAUCAUUUGUAGAUACGAUUAAUUCUUCAAAUUUUAUACCACUUAUUUAAAAACCAAAAUUACAUCAUUUAACAAGUCGUUCUGUUUUUCUUGAAUAGCAUGUGUCUGAGAUUUUUUUUCAUGAGCUAUUGCCUUAUUCCUCUUACUUUUGGUUCUAAGAAACUGCCCUUAAUCAUGUUAAGAGUGCUAGACUUCUUGGUGAUGGCUUUGGUUCAAUGCCAGAGUUAUGCAAAAAGAAUCUGAUAUGGAUGGUUACACGAAUGCAAAUGGUGAUAGAUCGCUAUCCUACUUGUGGAGCUUCCAAGUUCUAUCCAUUCUCUUAGAGAGCAAAAAGAUCUACACAAUUGAACCAUCAUAAGUAGAGCUCUUGAAGUUUAAACCUUCUGUAAAUACUGAAUAUGAUAAUCUGGAAUGACUCACAGCUUUAUGUUAACGAAAAAGAAAAAGAAAAAAUUGUGCAAGAAAACCUCUGCAUCAUAUAUGCUCCUAUUAGGAAAAACUGUAAUUUCAAUUCUCCCAAACUUGUAUCAACCUAUGGCCUAUUUUAACUUAUUUGUCUUUGAACUAA